AGUGAACGCUGGCGGUAGGCCUAACACAUGCAAGUCGAACGGCAGCACAGUAAGAGCUUGCUCUUACGGGUGGCGAGUGGCGGACGGGUGAGGAAUACAUCGGAAUCUACUUUUUCGUGGGGGAUAACGUAGGGAAACUUACGCUAAUACCGCAUACGACCUACGGGUGAAAGCAGGGGAUCUUCGGACCUUGCGCGAUUGAAUUAGCCGAUGUCGGAUUAGCUAGUUGGCGGGGUAAAGGCCCACCAAGGCGACGAUGCGUAGCUGGUCUGAGAGGAUGAUCAGCCACACUGGAACUGAGACACGGUCCAGACUCCUACGGGAGGCAACAGUGGGGAAUAUUGGACAAUGGGCGCAAGCCUGAUCCAGCCAUACCGCGUGGGUGAAGAAGGCCUUCGGGUUGUAAAGCCCUUUUGUUGGGAAAGAAAAGCAGCAGGUUAAUACCCCGCUGUUCUGACGGUACCCAAAGAAUAAGCACCGGCUAACUUCGUG
rnacentral:rRNA from 1 species